UAAAUCAAGAUGAAGUCAUGCCAAGCCUG
rnacentral:piRNA from 1 species